AUGGAAAUAUUGUAAAUAAAUUGCAACUUUUUGGGUAACAAUAUGUGAAAAUGGAGGGAAAAUGAGAAUUGUACAGUAAAAAUAUGUAACGGUGUGGGACCCAUAACUGAAUAAAAAAAACAAAUGGAAAAGGGGCCCAUUAGUUGAUAAAACUAAUCUGAAUUUUUUUUUUUUUUUUUAUCUUUUCUCUUUUCCUAAAUUGUAUUACUCCCCUCUCUCUCUCCUCAAUCUAUUUCCUCAAUCAAAGCAGUUUCUGAGAUUCUUCUUCAAUGAAGCAGCUUUUGAGCUUCUCCUCCGUUGAACCAGCUUUACAGUAUGAUGAUUUCAAUCUUUCAGCUCAUAAUUAUAAUAAAAUUUCAAUGUUUCAAGCUAUGCAGAGUUUAGAAGACAUAUCAUGGUUGUUUCAUGUGUUACUGAAAGAUAUCUCUCAUGCUUUUGUGUUGGAGAUUGCCUAGCUACAAUUUCGGGAGCUUUAUUUCGAAGAUAAGAGAAGUGUAAAGGCUUGUAUAAUUUCCUAAUUUUUUUUUAAUGUUUUUAGAUUAGAGGAUGUAUAUUCCUUACAAAAAAUAAAAAUAGAGGAUGUAUGCUGUAUUUUAUAAGAUAUUCAAUUGAUUUGAUAAAUGAAUUGUCAUUUGUUGUAUAGUGUAACUACAUAGUAGUUAUAUAUACAAGCUUUGAAUCCA